UGCUUCCAGGAAAAGCCUCUAAGCAUCAGGUAACAUCAAAUCGUACCCCAAACCGACACAGGUGGUCAGGUAGAGAAUACCAAGGCGCUUGAGAGAACUCGGGUGAAGGAACUAGGCAAAAUGGUGCCGUAACUUCGGGAGAAGGCACGCUGAUAUGUAGGUGAAGUCCCUCGCGGAUGGAGCUGAAAUCAGUCGAAGAUACCAGCUGGCUGCAACUGUUUAUUAAAAACACAGCACUGUGCAAACACGAAAGUGGACGUAUACGGUGUGACGCCUGCCCGGUGCCGGAAGGUUAAUUGAUGGGGUCAGCGCAAGCGAAGCUCUUGAUCGAAGCCCCGGUAAACGGCGGCCGUAACUAUAACGGUCCUAAGGUAGCGAAAUUCCUUGUCGGGUAAGUUCCGACCUGCACGAAUGGCGUAAUGAUGGCCAGGCUGUCUCCACCCGAGACUCAGUGAAAUUGAACUCGCUGUGAAGAUGCAGUGUACCCGCGGCAAGACGGAAAGACCCCGUGAACCUUUACUAUAGCUUGACACUGAACAUUGAGCCUUGAUGUGUAGGAUAGGUGGGAGGCUUUGAAGUGUGGACGCCAGUCUGCAUGGAGUCGACCUUGAAAUACCACCCUUUAAUGUUUGAUGUUCUAACGUGGACCCGUGAUCCGGGUUGCGGACAGUGUCUGGUGGGUAGUUUGACUGGGGCGGUCUCCUCCUAAAGAGUAACGGAGGAGCACGAAGGUUGGCUAAUCCUGGUCGGACAUCAGGAGGUUAGUGCAAUGGCAUAAGCCAGCUUGACUGCGAGCGUGACGGCGCGAGCAGGUGCGAAAGCAGGUCAUAGUGAUCCGGUGGUUCUGAAUGGAAGGGCCAUCGCUCAACGGAUAAAAGGUACUCCGGGGAUAACAGGCUGAUACCGCCCAAGAGUUCAUAUCGACGGCGGUGUUUGGCACCUCGAUGUCGGCUCAUCACAUCCUGGGGCUGAAGUAGGUCCCAAGGGUAUGGCUGUUCGCCAUUUAAAGUGGUACGCGAGCUGGGUUUAGAACGUCGUGAGACAGUUCGGUCCCUAUCUGCCGUGGGCGCUGGAGAACUGAGGGGGGCUGCUCCUAGUACGAGAGGACCGGAGUGGACGCAUCACUGGUGUUCGGGUUGUCAUGCCAAUGGCACUGCCCGGUAGCUAAAUGCGGAAGAGAUAAGUGCUGAAAGCAUCUAAGCACGAAACUUGCCCCGAGAUGAGUUCUCCCUGACCCUUUAAGGGUCCUGAAGGAACGUUGAAGACGACGACGUUGAUAGGCCGGGUGUGUAAGCGCAGCGAUGCGUUGAGCUAACCGGUACUAAUGAACCGUGAGGCUUAACCUU
rnacentral:rRNA from 1 species